rnacentral:tRNA from 2 species
AGGGGUAUAGCUCAGCUGGUAGAGCAUCGGUCUCCAAAACCGAGGGUCGGGGGUUCGAGUCCCUCUGCCCCUGCCA